CUAGGAAUAAACCGCCCUGUGUCUCGGAUAUAUAAUCCAAUGAGACUUGCACGUUUAUAUUUCCUGUACCAUCCAAAGGGGUAGUGCACGAGGUAAGGUAGGAUCCGAUCUUUUCAAAGACAGCAAAGCGAUUGUUGUACAUUAGAAUAUGGGCAUUUAAUAAUUACUUUUUGGCCAUUUUAUCAAAUUGGUAAAAAUCCCUUGCAAAAGGACAUUAGUUUGAAGAAAUUCACA
rnacentral:lncRNA from 1 species